CUGCCCGUCAACGUCACCUGAGUUGGUCUGGCAGCCGAAGCCAGUGGCCUAACCGCAAGGAGGAGGCUGUCUAAGCUGUGGGAGCGAGGGGGACU
rnacentral:rRNA from 1 species